CUACCAAGGCGAUGAUGGCUAGGGGGUCUGAGAGGAUGAUCCCCCACACUGGAACUGAGACACGGUCCAGACUCCUACGGGAGGCAGCAGUGAGGAAUCUUGCGCAAUGGAGGAAACUCUGACGCAGCCACGCCGCGUGCCGGAAGACGGCCCUAUGGGUUGUAAACGGCUUUUGUUCGGGAAGAAAGUAUGGGUUUUGAUCUGUAUUGACGGUACCGAUUGAAUAAGCACCGGCUAACUCCGUGCCAGCAGCCGCGGUAAUACGGAGGGUGCAAGCGUUGUCCGGAAUCAUUGGGUGUAAAGGGUGCGUAGGCUGGUGUCUAAGUCUGGGGUGAAAUUUUGCCGCUUAACGGUAACAUGGCCUUGGAUACUGGAUGCCUUGAAUCUGACAGAGGUCGGUGGAAUUCGUAGUGUAGCGGUGAAAUGCAUAGAUAUUACGAAGAACACCAGUGGCGAAGGCGGCCGGCUGGGUCAGUAUUGACGCUGAGGCACGAGAGCGUGGGGAGCGAACAGGAUUAGAUACCCUGGUAGUCCACGCUGUAAACGAUGUAUGCUAGUUGUUGGGCCUUUGGGUUCAGUGACGCAGUUAACGCAGUAAGCAUACCACCUGGGGAGUACGUUCGCAAGAAUGAAACUCAAAGGAAUUGACGGGGGCCCGCACAAGCGGUGGAGCAUGUGGCUUAAUUCGAUGCAACGCGAAGAACCUUACCCGGGCUAAAUCCUGAUUUGAUACCCCGAAACGGGUAGUUCUCUUCGGAGCGGUCAGGAAGGUGCUGCAUGGCUGUCGUCAGCUCGUGCCGUGAGGUGUUGCCUUAAGUGGCGCAACGAGCGCAACCCCUAUGGUUAGUUACCAGCACGUAAUGGUGGGGACUCUAGCCAGACUG
rnacentral:rRNA from 1 species